rnacentral:rRNA from 1 species
GAUGAACGCUAGCGAUAGGCUUAACACAUGCAAGUCGAGGGGCAGCAUGGUCUUAGCUUGCUAAGGCUGAUGGCGACCGGCGCACGGGUGCGUAACGCGUAUGCAACUUGCCUCACAGAGGGGGAUAACCCGUCGAAAGACGGACUAAUACCGCGUACACUCUAUGUUGGGCAUCCAAUGUAGAGGAAAUGAAAUUCGCUGUGAGAUAGGCAUGCGUCCCAUUAGCUAGUUGGUGAGGUAACGGCUCACCAAGGCGACGAUGGGUAGGGGAACUGAGAGGUUGAAACCCCGCACUGGUACUGAGACACGGACCAGACUCCUACGGGAGGCAGCAGUGAGGAAUAUUAGUCAAGGGGCGAGAGCCUGAACCAGCCAAGUCGCGUGAAGGAUGACUGUCUUAUGGAUUGUAAACUUCUUUUAUACGGGAAUAACAAGAGUCACGUGUGGCUCCCUGCAUGUACCGUAUGAAUAAGCAUCGGCUAACUCCGUG